AGUUGCCAUCAGGUAAAGCUGGGAACUCUGGGGAGACUGCCGGUGGAUAAACCGGAGGAAGGCGGGGAUGACGUCAAGUCCUCAUGGCCCUUACAUCCCGGGCUACACACGUGCUACAAUGGCAGGUACAGAGGGUUGCGAAGCCGCGAGGUGGAGCGAAUCCCAGAAAACCUGUCUCAGUCCGGAUUGAAGUCUGCAACUCGACUUCAUGAAGGCGGAAUCGCUAGUAACCGCGAAUCAGCAGGUCGCGGUGAAUACGUUCCCGGGCCUU
rnacentral:rRNA from 1 species